rnacentral:lncRNA from 13 species
GGGCAGACCAGGUGGGCCAUUUCCCCCCCAUGCAUUACCCUUCCCCCACCCGUCAAACACGGAACAGGGAUGCGUCACAGGACAGAAGUCCACCAAGAGACAAGCGCCUUGCGAAGCAGAGCGUGCCAGACGGAGCAAGGAAAGUCCCAUGAUGCGCGUGGUGCUCUAGUUUUCUCAGUGCUCCCUGGAAAACCGCACUGCGGCUGUCUCUGACUUGGGAUCUAAUCUUAGUGCCUCCUACGCUGUAAGCCCGAAAUUACUGAGCAGCACAGCGGAGGCGCCACUGGCUGCAGGAGGUCUGGCUCACUCUCAGACUCUGGGCGGCGUCUGGUGAGCCGAAUCCACUAAACAGCUCCAGCCAUGUGCCUGAGUGCUGGGAGGGGUGUGGCAGCCGUCCUCCUUCCCAUGGCAGGGUCCCCUCUGUGUCUCUACUUCCCCCAGUUCUUCGCUGGAGGGACUUGUCCUCAGCUAGGCUGCCACCUCCUCCAGGCAGGCUUCCCUGACCACCCUGCCUUGGGUUGGACUUCCUGGGCCGUGGGGCUUUUUGGUUGUCACUGUCUGGCUUCUGCCUCCCCCACCAGACAGUGGCUCCCUUAGAGCAGCACAGAGAGGCCACCUUAUCCUGCACAGCUCAAUGCAUCAGCCUGGACCGAACCCUGACUCCCUGCGAGCUUCUGACAGGUCCAGGUCUGGUCUCCCACUAGACAGGAAGCUCCACGAGGCAUCUAUCUCCUCAUUUCAGCUCCACAGCAGUUUCUGGUACACCGGAGGAAGACGGAGCUGCCUCGCCAUCCCCGCAGGCAACGUGCAUUUGAUAAAAAACUCCUGCCCGAGUCGGACACGUCACACAUCUGACCACGCCCUAGCUGGACGGGGAUGGGCAGGACAGUCAGGGAUCCCGCCCGUCCAGAAUAUAGAGCCCAGUGCUGGACAUCAGCGAGGGAAUCUGUGAAAAUUCUUCUGUGGCUGAACUGCCUGGGAGCAUGUGACCCAGCCUCAGGAGUCAGGAGAGUCUUCUGUUCAUAGGUGGGAGGAAGGGAGCGAGGGAGGGAAACAAGGAAGGAAGGGAGGGAGGGACGGAGGGAAGAAAAAGGGAGGUAGGGAAGGGAGGGACGGAUGGUGGGCAAAGACAUGCUGUGGCUAGCUUAUACCUGCCCACAUAAAGACAUGAGCACAGCAUAAAGUAUUAAAUAACUUUUCGUGACAUUGAUGCAGGAGCAAUUAAACCCACCAUGAGAUGGGAGAGAGGGUCCACACACAUUUGCAAACACGUGUGCGUGCUUGGCCCAGACACAGGUGUCACUGCAAACAAGUGGAGGAGGGCAGGCGAUUCCAUGAGUGACUCGGGGACAACUGGGUAGCCAUAUGGGAAGAUAAAACUUUAUCCCCUUUCUCGAACCAUACACAAAAAUGAACUCCAUGUGGCAGCAGGAGCUCAAUGCUCUUUAAGACAAAACUGUAAAAUCCUUGAGAAAAACGUCUUCUGUAAUUCUUGUUUCUUAAAUAAAACAAGCACAAAUCCUAAAGGCGAUGAAUGA